rnacentral:lncRNA from 10 species
GGAGGAAAAAGAGGGGCAAAAGAAGGAGUCAGCUUCCUAUAAAAAGCCUGUUCCUGGAAACCCCACCAGAUGACAGCUCCAGUAUCUCCAAAGCAACCCGUCACUGCAGAGGAGGCUGGGAGAAUUGGCCUCUGAGCUGGGCACAUUGCUCCCCCAGCCACACCUACUGAAUUUGGAGUAUGAUAGGCAGAGGAAAGAACACAGGCUCUGGAUGGGAUCAAACUGUCAAGAUAUUAAAACACAGAGGAGGGAAGGUCACUUGCCCAGGUCACUCAGCAUCAGAUCUAGAGCCUGGGUCUCCAUGCUGUUGCUAACAUGAGAAGAUCCUUAAGGAUAUUCUGCCUGGCCUCCUCUCUCAGAGAGGUGGCCCUGACAACCUGCUAUGUGGUAGUUCAUUCUGGAGCUGCUGAUUCCUUCCUAGCCUUUGUGCAAAUUAAAAGAAGGUACCACCUUCUUCUGGGCCAACAAAAUCCCAUGUCAGAGCACAUGGAUUGCAAAAGUGUAGUAUGGGCUGGAUUUCAGCCCCCACUUGCCCCCUUAGCCAAGCACCCUGGUGCAGGACACAACCUGUGCAACUGUACAUGGCCACCCUUAUUAGCCCUUUCCUCAUUCCUCCUCACUCAUUCUACCCUUGGCCACUUCACGUGAGGGGCGCCCUCCCCUCAGUGCUGGGCUGAGGCUGGUGUGGGAACAGCCCAGUUGUUGGGGCUGUACUUCCAAACCCCAAAGCAGCAUCAGCCAAAGGUGCUGACUCAGCAAACCUUAAUUUAUCUCACAGGCCAGGGGUGCGCGUGAAGCAAUUAGUGAAAUAAUGGUUAUGUCGCACUAAAAAUUAUUUAUAGAGUCACCGUGCACACAGCUGUGAUUAAAUUAGACAACCAGGGGGACUUUAACUGCUGGCGGAACCAGCAUCCCAGGCCCGGGCUGCAGCUGGCUGGGGGUGGGGCAGGGUCAUGCUUCUGGUCUGCUCACCCACUCCAGGCAGCUGAGCCAACCCUGACCCAGGCCAGGACAUAGGGGGUCUACCUGGGCAGGGGUCUUGGGAGGAAUCCCUGUCCCAGAGAGUCUGCGCUGCCAGGAGCCCUGAAAAUAAACAAGUAGGGGGCUUUCACACAUUCAAGGCUGAGCGGCAGGAAGUUUGUUCACGUGGAGCCUUCCGCAGCCCUUCACGAGUGAAAGAGACGUGGACUGAGAACCAGAAAAGGUGGUCCCGGAGCUCCGCGGGCUUGGUGUUGACUCCAACAGUGGCCCCCGAGAGCCCAGAUCCCAGCUGGAAACCAUAGAUCGGUGAAGCCCUCUCAUUUUACAGUUGGUGAAACAAAAGGCCAGGGAUUUCCUCUCUCUUGUUCCUCCAGCAGACAUCAGGAGACCUUUGAUCCAGCUGGGAUCCUGGAUGAACUCUUUCCCCUCUCUGGACCUCAGUGUAUCCCCCU